UCGAUUAUGGUAUAAUGGCUAACAUUGCCGCCUCUCAAUCUUCAUCGUAAACGCGGCAGCUCAGGGUUCGAUUCCCUGUAAUCGAA